rnacentral:misc_RNA from 1 species
UAAUAAUAAUAAUAAUAAUACUUUGAUCUAUGUUUGUUACGUCAGAAUGAUCAUGUUUCCUUUCUUGACAAGUUCAUGGUACUCUUUUGUCAGUGCUUUAAUCGAUAUGCUCACAAUAUGUAACUAACAAACAUGUCCUCAAAUUACAGCACAAAAAUAUGGGAAUUAGAGAAAUACAAAACUCAAAAUUUAGAUAUGACAACUGCUGAAGCAAGAUUUGAGCUUGCACUUGGGUUAUA